UGACUCCAAAAUCUAUACAAUAAUUCAAUCUAAAGAAAAAUAAAAAACGUUGUUUCACUGAAGAAAUUGUGCUUCAAGGCAUUUGAAUCUCAGGAAUAACAGAAAGCUAAGCUUAUCAAGAAUAAAAUUCCUCGGAUAAUUCACCUGGAAAAUGUCAUCCAAGGAUUGUGUUUAUGCUUAUGGCUCUUAGACUCCAGUGAUGUAGAAGGGUUGGGGAGAACACAGCUGGACCUGUCUGCAACCUCAAACUCAAGUAAUGCCUGAGAAGUUGGGAGGUUUGGUGAUUCAAGACUUUAUUGUGCCGUUCAAUGCUGAAACAUCUGCAUGAUUGCUUGGGC